GGGAGUGUCUGUCGGGGGUGCAUCGACUACAGUGGGCUCCUAGACUUCGUCCAAAAAAUUCAGAUCUAAUUCUGAAUACUUGACAGCAAUCUUGUCUCGGACCAACUACUUUCCAUCGAUAUAAGUGUCAGCAGCAAACUCGAUCUUCUCGUUAUUAUACUUUUUUGAUGUUCAAAAAUCUUCAACGGCCUUUAAGGCAGCCUCUGCUAUCUUUCUCUCAACUGCCUCAGUCAUGACUUUAUUUUUUUUAGG
rnacentral:lncRNA from 1 species